rnacentral:rRNA from 1 species
UACGUAGGGACCCAAGCGUUGUUCGGAUUUACUGGGCGUAAAGGGCGCGUAGGCGGCUUGUCAAGUCACUUGUGAAAUCUCUGGGCUUAACCCAGAACGGCCAAGUGAAACUGACAUGCUAGAGUGCAGAAGGGGCAAUCGGAAUUCUUGGUGUAGCGGUGAAAUGCGUAGAUAUCAAGAGGAACACCUGAGGUGAAGACGGGUUGCUGGGCUGACACUGACGCUGAGGCGCGAAAGCCAGGGGAGCAAACGGGAUUAGAAACCCUGUAGU